ACCCAAAGGACUUGACGGUAUCCCCACCCUACUAGAGGAGCCUGUUCUGUAAUCGAUAAUCCACGAUACACCAAACCAUUUCUUGCCUCAGCCUGUAUACCUCCGUCGUAAGCUUACCCUGUAAAUGCAUAUAGUGGGCUCAAAGGCCUAACACCCAAACGUCAGGUCAAGGUGCAGCCUAUGAAAUGGAAGCUAUGGGCUACAAUUUCUAAACUAGAACUAGUCAAAUACUAUGUGAAAUAUAGUUAUAAAGAAGGAUUUAGUAGUAAAUAAGGAAUAGAGAGCCUUAUUAAACUUAGCCCUGGGGUAUGUACAAACCGCCCGUCACCCUCUUCAAUAA
rnacentral:rRNA from 1 species